rnacentral:rRNA from 1 species
CGCGUAGGUGGUUAGGUCAGUCAGAUGUGAAAGCCCCGGGCUCAACCUGGGAACUGCAUUUGAUACUGCUGAACUAGAGUAUGGUAGAGGGAAGUGGAAUUCCGGGUGUAGCGGUGAAAUGCGUAGAGAUCCGGAGGAACAUCAGUGGCGAAGGCGGCUUCCUGGACCAAUACUGACACUGAGGUGCGAAAGCGUGGGUAGCAAACA